GACGAACGCUGGCGGCGUGCUUAACACAUGCAAGUCGAACGGAAAGGCCCUGCUUUUGUGGGGUGCUCGAGUGGCGAACGGGUGAGUAACACGUGAGUAACCUGCCCUUGACUUUGGGAUAACUUCAGGAAACUGGGGCUAAUACCGGAUAGGAGCUCCUGCUGCAUGGUGGGGGUUGGAAAGUUUCGGCGGUUGGGGAUGGACUCGCGGCUUAUCAGCUUGUUGGUGGGGUAGUGGCUUACCAAGGCUUUGACGGGUAGCCGGCCUGAGAGGGUGACCGGCGACAUGGGGACUGAGAUACGGCCCAGACGCCUACGGGAGGCAGCAGUGGGAAAUAUGGCACAACGGGGGGAAGCCUGUUGCAGCAACGCCGCGUGCGGGAUGACGGCCUUCGGGUUGUAAACCGCUUUCGCCGGUGACGAAGCGUGAGUGACGGUAAUGGGUAAAGAAGCACCGGCUAACUACGUG
rnacentral:rRNA from 1 species